ACAGAGGGUGCAAGCGUUAAUCGGAUUUACUGGGCGUAAAGCGCGCGUAGGCGGCUAAUUAAGUCAAAUGUGAAAUCCCCGAGCUUAACUUGGGAAUUGCAUUCGAUACUGGUUAGCUAGAGUGUGGGAGAGGAUGGUAGAAUUCCAGGUGUAGCGGUGAAAUGCGUAGAGAUCUGGAGGAACACCAGAGGCGAAGGCGACACCCUGGGCCGUACCUGACGCUAAGACGCGACAGCACGGGGAGCGAACGG
rnacentral:rRNA from 1 species